GCCGAGGUGCCCGAAUCUGGCUAAGGGGCAAGCCUGGAGAGCUUGUGGCUCUUCCGAGCCUUAGGGGUUCAAAUCCCCUCCUCGGCG
rnacentral:tRNA from 1 species